CACUAAGAAGCUAGUCAGCGUUAACCUUUUAAGUUAAAGAAUGAGAACUAUAA
rnacentral:tRNA from 1 species